rnacentral:rRNA from 1 species
AACGAACGCUGGCGGCAUGCCUAACACAUGCAAGUCGAACGAGACCUUCGGGUCUAGUGGCGCACGGGUGCGUAACGCGUGGGAACCUGCCCUUAGGUUCGGAAUAACUCCCCGAAAGGGGUGCUAAUACCGGAUAAUGUCUUCGGACCAAAGAUUUAUCGCCUUUGGAUGGGCCCGCGUUGGAUUAGCUAGUUGGUAGGGUAAAAGCCUACCAAGGCGACGAUCCAUAGCUGGUCUGAGAGGAUGAUCAGCCACACUGGGACUGAGACACGGCCCAGACUCCUACGGGAGGCAGCAGUGGGGAAUAUUGGACAAUGGGCGAAAGCCUGAUCCAGCAAUGCCGCGUGAGUGAUGAAGGCCUUAGGGUUGUAAAGCGCUUUUACCCGGGAUGAUAAUGACAGUACCGGGAGAAUAAGCCCCGGCUAACUCCGUG